UAUGUUUUUACUUGAUUUAAUGUAUGGCACAUCUGGGUCUCCUAGUUUGGGGACAUGGUGCGGAAUCGAUAUCAAGAGAUUUCGGAAGCAUAAUUUUUGCUAUCAGGACUGCUUGUGAGUGACUCUCCGAGCGUCCUA